rnacentral:rRNA from 1 species
GAGUAGGUUACUAAGAGCAUAUGGAGGAUGCCUUGGCAUAAAAGGGCGAUGAAGGACGUGGCGUGACUGCGAUAAGCGUCGGGGAGCUGUCUAGCGAGCUUUGAUCCGGCGAUGUCCGAAUGGGAAAACCCAUGGCGAGUAAUGUUGCCAUAUCUUUAUCCGUAAGUGAUAAAGAAGCGAACCCGGGGAAGUAAAACAUUUCAGUACCCGGAGGAAAAGAAAAGAAGAUUCACUUUUUUAUUGGUGAGUCCGGAUAGUCGGGAACACCAAUAAAAUUGUGAUUCAUAUUCCCCUAGUAGCGGCGAGCGAAAAGGGAGGAGUCUAAACCUGUCUUGUGCUUCGCACAAGAACCGUUGACCUUUGACAUUUUACUUUUGACAUUUUUUGUCAAUUGUCAAUUGUUAUUUGUCAGUUGUUCUCGCGCGAAGCGCGAGACGGGGGUUGAAAGAAGCGGUCGUUUCCAUAGCAAUAUGGAGGAGAAGUACAAAAAUGAAAAAUUGGUUAGUUAAAUGGUUUUGGAAAAGCCAACCAAAGAGGGUAAUAGUCCCGUAAGCGAAAACCUUUUUCAUACUUCUUGAUUGUUCUCUUAAGUACCGCGGGGAAAGAUUGCCCUGUGGGAAGCCGGGAGUCCUACACUCCCAAGACUAAAUACCUUUUGUGACCGAUAGUGAACUAGUACCGUGAGGGAAAGGUGAAAAGCAGCCCGGUGAGGGCGGUGAAAUAGACCUGAAACCAUAUGCUUACAAAGAGCGGGAGUCCACGACACGCAAGUGUCGGGAUGACCGUGUGCCUAUUGAAGAAUGAGCCAACGACUUUAUGUGUUUUGCUUGUUUAAGCUCCGAUUGGAGAUUAAGCACAGGGAAACCGAGUGUUAAAAGCGCGUUUUUCGGCGUAAGCCGAAAAGGCAGAACGCAUAAGACCCGAAGCCAGGUGAGCUUACCAUGGCCAGGCUGAACCCCGCAGAAAUGCGGGGGGAGGGCCGCACCCACUAGCCGUGCAAUACUAGGGGAUGAGCUGUGGUAAGAAGUGAAAAGCUAAUCGAACCUGGGAAUAGCUGGUUCUCUCCGAAAUAGAUUUAGGACUAGCCUCAAGUGUUUUUUAUUGGAGGUAGAGCACUGGUUGGUCUGUAUUGGCGCAAGCCAGGCAGACCAGUCAAACUCCGAAUUCCAUU